UACAGAGGGGGCAAGCGUUGUUCGGAAUUACUGGGCGUAAAGGGCGCGUAGGCGGCCUGCUAAGUCGGACGUGAAAUCCCCGGGCUCAACCCGGGAACUGCGUCCGAUACUGGUUGGCUUGAGUCCGGGAGAGGGAUGCGGAAUUCCAGGUGUAGCGGUGAAAUGCGUAGAUAUCUGGAGGAACACCGGUGGCGAAGGCGGCAUCCUGGACCGGCAUUGACGCUGAGGCGCGAAAGCGUGGGGAGCAAACAGG
rnacentral:rRNA from 1 species